CCGAGUUUACAACUCCCAAACCCAAUGUGAACGUUACCAAACUGUUGCCUCGGCGGGGUCACGCCCCGGGUGCGUAAAAGCCCCGGAACCAGGCGCCCGCCGGAGGAACCAACCAAACUCUUUCUGUAGUCCCCUCGCGGACGUAUUUCUUACAGCUCUGAGCAAAAAUUCAAAAUGAAUCAAAACUUUCAACAACGGAUCUCUUGGUUCUGGCAUCGAUGAAGAACGCAGCGAAAUGCGAUAAGUAAUGUGAAUUGCAGAAUUCAGUGAAUCAUCGAAUCUUUGAACGCACAUUGCGCCCGCCAGUAUUCUGGCGGGCAUGCCUGUCCGAGCGUCAUUUCAACCCUCGAACCCCUCCGGGGGAUCGGCGUUGGGGAUCGGGACCCCUCACCGGGUGCCGGCCCUGAAAUACAGUGGCGGUCUCGCCGCAGCCUCUCCUGCGCAGUAGUUUGCACAACUCGCACCGGGAGCGCGGCGCGUCCACGUCCGUAAAACACCCAACUUCUGAAAUGUUGACCUCGGAUCAGGUAGGAAUACCCGCUGAACUUAAGCAUAUCAA
rnacentral:rRNA from 1 species